UGAGUAAUCUGCCCUUCACUUCGGGAUAACCACCGGAAACGGUGGCUAAUACCGGAUACAACCAGUCUUCGCAUGAGGUGCUGGUGGAAAGUCUUUUCGGUGAAGGAUGUGCUCGCGGCCUAUCAGCUUGUUGGUGGGGUAAUAGCCUACCAAGGCUUCGACGGGUAGCCGGCCUGAGAGGGCGACCGGCCACACUGGGACUGAGACACGGCCCAGACUCCUACGGGAG
rnacentral:rRNA from 1 species